GCCUCCUUAGCUCAACUGGCAGAGCAAGCGACUCUUAAUCGUUAGGUUGUGCGUUCGAGCCGCACAGGAGGCA
rnacentral:tRNA from 1 species